AAAUUCUUGCCACAACUCUGAGAUGGGAGAACGAACCGCUAAAUCAUCACAGGCAGAAUGGAACUGUCAUCCCAAGAGGAGCUGGGGACCUCAGCUCAACCCCACCCAUGAAGUAGUCACUACCGAGCAUUUCAGCGAGCAUCCUGAAGAGGCACACAUGGAUUUAUUAAGCAGAAAAGAAGGUGUGGUGCAUGGAGCAACUGUGCCAGCAUCAUCUGGAGCCUGUUAGGAAUGCUGAAUCCCAGACCAUGUGAAUCUCAAUCUGUCCUGAACAAGAUCCCCACCAGAUUCUUAUGCGCGUGAAAGUUUGAGAAGCCCUAGUUUACCCAAUACUUUUGGGAUCUUCAUGACUCUGGCUUUAUAGUACAAUACUCUGCUCCUGUGGGGUCGCCUCAGCCCAUCAAUGUGCCCCUCACCAUUUCUUCCUGGCAAGAACCUGCCAUCAGCAACAGCUUAGCCAGGUGGCUAAACCAAGGACAAAGGAGAUGGCUGAGGACCACUGUGGACACUGCAGGUUAACUGCCCUCUGUGGGGUUUAAUAUCCUUCCUAUGGUCCUGGCCUUUCUUAUUGUCUUGGCUCGUUGUAAAUUUUCUCCCAAGUUCACAUCCUGGGCUUCCUCGUGUGUUUCUCUCCUCCAGAUGUGUACUCUAGAUCACCUCCGUGCCUUUCCCCGACUUGGAAUAAUUUGAUUGUAUCCUGGAUGUGAGUCUAGAGUGCAUAUUUCCUCAAUUUCUAUCUGCUCUGAUUCAUUGAACUGUUAAUAGUGGCUUAUUUGUGGCAGUAAUACAAAUAGAUAAAGAAGCUGGUUUUGUAAAUACG